rnacentral:rRNA from 1 species
AGCGAACGUUAGCGGCGCGCCUAACACAUGCAAGUCGAGUGAGAAUUGGGGCUUCGGCUCCAUAGUAAAGCGGCGCACGAGUGAGUAACACGUAGAUGAUCUGCCUCUCGGUGGGGGACAACCUUCCGAAAGGAGGGCUAAUACCGCAUAAGACCACGGUGACCACGGUCGCUGAGGGUAAAGGUGGCCUCUUCCUGAAAGCUAUCGCCGAAAGAUGAGUAUGCGUCCCAUCACCUAGUUGGUAGGGUAAUGGCGUACAAAGGCUAAGACGGGGAGCUGGUCUGAGAGGAUGAUCAGCCACACUGGAACUGAGACACGGUCCAGACUCCUACGGGAGGCAGCAGUGGGGAAUCUUGCGCAAUGGGCGAAAGCCUGACGCAGCGACGCCGCGUGGGUGAUGAAGGCCUUCGGGUUGUAAAGCCCUGUGGGGAGGGACGAAAACGCGCCGAUCCAAUACAUCGGCGUCUUGACGGUACCUCCUUAGCAAGCACCGGCUAACUCUGUGCCAGCCGCCGCCGUAACAC